UACGUAGGGUGCAAGCGUUGUCCGGAAUUAUUGGGCGUAAAGAGCUCGUAGGCGGUUUGUCGCGUCUGCUGUGAAAACUCAGGGCUUAACCCUGAGCUUGCAGUGGGUACGGGCAGACUAGAGUGCGGUAGGGGAGACUGGAAUUCCUGGUGUAGCGGUGAAAUGCGCAGAUAGUCAGGAGGAACACCGGUGGCGAAGGCGGGGUCUCUGGGCCGUAACUGACGC
rnacentral:rRNA from 1 species